UACGUAGGGGGCAAGCGUUGUCCGGAAUUAUUGGGCGUAAAGCGCGUGUAGGCGGCUCGGUAAGUCUGCUGUGAAAGUCCAGGGCUCAACCCUGGAAUGCCGGUGGAUACUGUCGAGCUAGAGUCCGGAAGAGGCGAGUGGAAUUCCUGGUGUAGCGGUGAAAUGCGCAGAUAUCAGGAGGAACACCAAUGGCGAAAGCAGCUCUCUGGGACGGUACUGACGCUGAGACGCGAAAGCGUGGGGAGCGAACAGG
rnacentral:rRNA from 1 species